ACCAGUUCAAGAGGAAAUCGUUGCUGAAGAAAGAGGUGUGCAAAAUGUGGAUAGUGAACAGCAGCGUGAAGAAUUUGAAAAAUGGAAAUCCAAAACAUAUGCUUUGACUGUCCCUUUGAAAGUUGUUGCUCUACAAGGCUCUGUACCACCUGCCUGGAUCAAGGAUUUCAUUCAGUCUCAAGGAAAGAGAUUAAAGCUAAGUGUGCAGUUCCGUGGAACCCUU